rnacentral:rRNA from 1 species
GACGUAGGUGGCGAGCGUUGUCCGGAUUUACUGGGCGUAAAGAGCGCGCAGGCGGUCGUUCAAGUCGAGUGUGAAAGCCCCCGGCUCAACUGGGGAGGGUCACUCGAUACUGAUCGACUUGAAGGCAGGAGAGGGAAGCGGAAUUCCCGGUGUAGUGGUGAAAUGCGUAGAUAUCGGGAGGAACACCAGUGGCGAAGGCGACUACCUGGCCUGUUCUUGACGCUGAGGCGCGAAAGCUAGGGGAGCAAACGGG